rnacentral:rRNA from 1 species
UGGGCAACCUGCCCCUGACACUGGGAUAACCCCGGGAAACCGGAGCUAAUACCGGAUACUCUCGGCCGAUCACAUGGCUGGCCGAGGAAAGGUCCGCCGGUCAGGGAUGGGCCCGCGGCCUAUCAGCUUGUUGGCGAGGUAACGGCUCACCAAGGCGACGACGGGUAGCUGGUCUGAGAGGACGACCGGCCACACUGGGACUGAGAUACGGCCCAGACUCCUACGGGAGCA